rnacentral:sRNA from 1 species
AUCCGACUAAAGACCAACUGCAGACGAGAAUUAGAGAGUGAAAAGCUGGAAGAGCCCAUAGGGAGAAAGCGUUUAUAAGAGUCGGCGAUAAAAAAGAGCUUAUAAACCCACCAAGAAUUCUGGAGAAAGAAUUCAAGGAGCUAGAGAAAAUCUCACUUUAGACCCCUAAGGAACUCGAAUUAAGAA